rnacentral:rRNA from 1 species
AUUGGACGCUGGCGGCAUGCCUUACACAUGCAAGUCGAACGGCAGCGGGGACUUCGGUCCGCCGGCGAGUGGCGAACGGGUGAGUAAUGUAUCGGAACGUACCAUUGAGUGGGGGAUCACGUAGCGAAAGUUACGCUAAUACCGCAUAUUCUCUCCGGAGGAAAGCAGGGGACCGCAAGGCCUUGCGCUCUUUGAGUGGCCGAUAUCAGAUUAGCUAGUUGGUGAGGUAAAGGCUCACCAAGGCGACGAUCUGUAGCGGGUCUGAGAGGAUGAUCCGCCACACUGGAACUGAGACACGGUCCAGACUCCUACGGGAGGCAGCAGUGGGGAAUUUUGGACAAUGGGGGCAACCCUGAUCCAGCCAUGCCGCGUGAGUGAAGAAGGCCUUCGGGUUGUAAAGCUCUUUCGGCCGGGAAAAAAUCGCAUGGGCUAAUACCCUGUGUGGAUGAUGGUACCGGAAUAAGAAGCACCGGCUAACUACGUGCCAGCCGCCGCAGUAA